rnacentral:rRNA from 1 species
GACGAACGCUGGCGGCGUGCCUAAUACAUGCAAGUAGAACGCUGAAGGAGGAGCUUGCUUCUCCGGAUGAGUUGCGAACGGGUGAGUAACGCGUAGGUAACCUGCCUGGUAGCGGGGGAUAACUAUUGGAAACGAUAGCUAAUACCGCAUAACAGUAGAUAUUGCAUGAUAUCUGCUUGAAAGGUGCAAUUGCAUCACUACCAGAUGGACCUGCGUUGUAUUAGCUAGUUGGCGAGGUAACGGCUCACCAAGGCGACGAUACAUAGCCGACCUGAGAGGGUGAUCGGCCACACUGGGACUGAGACACGGCCCAGACUCCUACGGGAGGCAGCAGUAGGGAAUCUUCGGCAAUGGACGGAAGUCUGACCGAGCAACGCCGCGUGAGUGAAGAAGGUUUUCGGAUCGUAAAGCUCUGUUGUAAGAGAAGAACGAGUGUGAGAGUGGAAAGUUCACACUGUGACGGUAUCUUACCAGAAAGGGACGGCUAACUACGUG